rnacentral:rRNA from 1 species
CCUACGGGUGGCAGCAGUGAGGAAUAUUGGUCAAUGGGAGGAAGCCUGAACCAGCCAUGCCGCGUGCAGGACGACGGCCCUACGAGUUGUAAACUGCUUUUGUACCGGGGUAAAAUGCCUUACGUGUAGGGUUUUGAAAGUACGGUACGACUAAGGAUCGGCUAACUCCGUGCCAGCAGCCGCGGUACUACGGAGGAUCCGAGCGUUAUCCGGAUUUAUUGGGUUUAAAGGGUGCGUAGGUGGUUGUAUAAGUUAGCUGUGAAAUACCGAUGCUCAACAUCGGGGCUGCCGCUGAUACUGUAUGACUAGAGUUCGGUUGCGGCAGGCGGAAUGUGUAGUGUAGCGGUGAAAUGCAUAGAUAUUACGCAGAACACCGAUUGCGAAGGCAGCUUACUGGGCCGGAUCUGACACUGAUGCACGAAAGCGUGGGGAUCGAACAGGAUUAGAUACCCUUGUAGUC